GUCAGGACAUGAGGGACGGCAGUUUUCUUUUUGCAAACAGAAGGGGAUGGCAUGCCCUCUGAAGUGGCACAGUGCCCAUUUUUUUUUGUAAAUAUCACCUCCAAAUGACAAAAAGAUAUCAGAGGGAUUAACACAAGUUAAAUAUUAAGCAGCAAAAUCUCAAAGCAGACAGCUGUUCCUAAAGAGGGACACCACUGUAUUUAAAUCAGGACACAGGGACGGAGCUUCUAAACUGCACGGAAACUGCAGUGUUUCUUGGUACCAUCUAAACUGCAGCGGCUGUUUACAGCAAAGGAAUUUUUGGGGUGAUGGCGGGUCGGACACUGACGCCUCUGAUCCUCUUCAGCCUCGUCACCCUCACUCAACACUUUGAGGUGAGAGAUGACGAGUGGGAGGAGCUCAGCCCUGACAUCGCUGCUCUGCACCGCCUCAGAGGACUGUCUGAACACAUGCACCA